rnacentral:rRNA from 1 species
GACGAACGCUGGCGGCGUGCUUAACACAUGCAAGUCGAACGGUAAGGCCCUUCGGGGUACACGAGUGGCGAACGGGUGAGUAACACGUGGGUGAUCUGCCCUGCACUUCGGGAUAAGCCUGGGAAACUGGGUCUAAUACCGGAUAGGACCCUGGGAUGCAUGUCCUGGGGUGGAAAGCUUUUGCGGUGUGGGAUGGGCCCGCGGCCUAUCGGCUUGUUGGGGGGGUGAUGGCCUAUCAAGGCGACGACGGGUAGCCGGGCGGAGAGGGUGACCGGCCCAACUGGGACGGAGAUACGGCCCGGACUCCUAGGGGGGGCAGCAGUGGGAAAUAUUGCAAAAUGGGCGCAAGCCUGAUGCGGCGACGCCGGGUGAGGGAUGACGGCCUUCGGGUUGUAAACCUCUUUCAGCACCGACGAAGCGAAAGUGACGGUAGGUGCAGAAGAAGGACCGGCCAACUACGUGCCAGCAGCCGCCGUAA